GUAAAUCUUGAAAAAAAGCAAAAACUUAUGGAAUUACCACAAAGUCAGACCAGACCAAUGCAAAUAAAAUUAUCGCCAUUGGAAUGUGGUUGGACGAGUGUUACAAUGGAUGGCAGAAGCAUUGAAUCAAAUCUUAUUGGAAAAGAUACAUUUGAAAGUUUUGAAACCUGGAUUUUGGAAAAUAAAAUGAUAACUUGUAUGACCGGUAAUUUAGCACGUAAGACUAGAAUCAGUUCAUUUAUAGUAACUGGAAAUGGAAAUGGAUUAGCUGGAUUUGCGUUAUCAAAAGCCAAAGCAUCCCUAAAGACGGUUAAAUAGGGCUGGUCAAAGACUAAUGUAUAUUCCUACAUACAAGGAAUACACUGUGUUACAUGAUUUAUUUACACAGUUUGAGAAUAUAAAAAUAUUUGUAAAGAAAAUUCAUGAAGGAUAAUGGGCUUGUUUGUCAUCAUGCGAUAAAAGCGUGUUGCGAGAUAAAGGAUAUGCAUGCCAAAGUACAAAGAGGAAUGUAAAAGCAUUCUUUAUUGGUUUAUUGCAACAGAUAUUUCUAUUG